AAACUUCAUAUCUACUUAAUUUAAUCUAAAAUCAGUAUUUUAUAAUUUAGUAUAAUACUAAAAUAAUAACAUAUUUAUAUUUUUCUAUAUAAUAAAAUAAAAAUAAUAAUUUUAUAUUUAUUAUAUCAUACUGAUAUCACUAGUUGAACUAGUAAUGCUUGAUCAAGUAGCAUUUUCGAGUCGCCAUCCAUUCGACCAUAUUUUUAAAACAUUAGACUUUGAUGAGCCAAAAGGAUAAGAAAAAAUUUCAAAUACCACCCCUAUGAUUUCGUACCUUUUCACCUUAGUAUCCUAUGGUUUAAAAUGUAUCACUUUUAUACCCUGUGGUUUUAUUUUUCUCUUUUUUUUAUCCCUUUUUACUAAUUUUUUCGUUAAAUCAGUAACAAAAUUAAAAUUAAAAGAGUGAAUAUUGGAUAAACUAUAGGUGGGGUAUCUAAAGUUUUUGCAUGUGAUGUAAUAAAAAGUUAACGGAGAGGCCGACAAAAAGAGAAAAAUAAAAUUACAGAAUACUAAAUUAAUAUAUUUUAAAUCACACGGUACUAAAAUGAGAUGCGAAACCACGAGGAUGGUACUUGAAGUUUACCCAAAAAAAAAAAAAAAAAAAAAAAAAAAAAAAAAA
rnacentral:lncRNA from 1 species